rnacentral:rRNA from 1 species
CAGCCGUAAACUAUGCGCGUUAGGUGUAUCGGUGACCACGAGUUACCGAGGUGCCGAAGGGAAACCGUGAAACGUGCCGCCUGGGAAGUACGGUCGCAAGGCUGAAACUUAAAGGAAUUGGCGGGGGAGCACCACAACAGGUGGAGCCUGCGGUUUAAUCGGACUCAACGCCGGGAAGCUCACCGGAUAGGACAGCAGAAUGAUUGCCGGGCUGAAGACCCUGCAUGACUAGCUGAGAGGUGGUGCAUGGCGUCAGUGACU